AAGCACAACUUUGGCCUAAAAGUUAUUUCACUUUAGCUGUUAUGGUGGUAGGUUGCUUAGCGCCCACUGUACAGCAGAAAAGGUUUUGUUUUGUUUGGCAACUUUUUCGAGAAGGGGCCAAGUUGUCUCCAAUCAUGUUUCCCAAUAAACCGAGGAAGGACGAUUCAUUCCUCUCCGGACGAUGAAUCAAGCAGAUUCUGCAGGUUGGGUCCAUUCUAUCCCAAGGCACCGACAUUGCAGUGUGGUGAGGAUACCAGAAGCUCCAAGCUUUGGGGCUGGGGGCGUCACAGUUUCAGUUGCACCGAGGGUGGAUGUUACGUCCUGCCAAUGCGUUGGCAAGGAAUGCCCAUGAUGCUGGUUUGCCCCCAACCGACACCAACAGCUGUCAAAGCUACCCCAACCACUACAGCCCCCGCCACUACAACCCACGGCAACCAGUAGUCUAUCCUCCACCUAUAGGAACCCCUAGCAGAUCAGCCUACUACACCGUUGCAUACAGCGGUGCCCGUGAGAAGACACGCCCACGACUACAACGCCCCUUACAUCAAUGUCUGCACCAGCUAUGAAGUAUUGUCCAAUGUUAGAGUUUCAGGAGUAUCCCCAAUAUUAUGCAUCUCAGGGCUAUACCCCUUCUUCCUUCAACCACCAACAAUGAUGCCGAUGAUGACCACUACUGGAACGACCACCACACAGCCACCUGCGAAGCUUCUGCCAUGGGCAAGAUCCAGUCUUUCAACCAGUCCCUCAAUUCUACCACCCUUUCAUGACUAAAUAGCCUUACUAUAUUCCAAUUCCAUACUUUCAUCAACAGAAUGGUCCAUCACGUUAUCCUUUCCUGCUUUUCCAGGCUAAUGCUUUUAAAUGAGUCGAUCAAUAAAAUGAAUGCAAGCACUCAAACGUUCAC